GCGAGUGAAGCGGGAACAGCUCAAAUUUGAAAUCUGGCCCUCGGGUCCGAGUUGUAAUUUGUAGAGGAUGCUUUUGGUGCGGUGCCUUCCGAGUUCCCUGGAACGGGACGCCUUAGAGGGUGAGAGCCCCGUACGGUUGGACGCCUAGCCUCUGUAAAGCUCCUUCGACGAGUCGAGUAGUUUGGGAAUGCUGCUCUAAAUGGGAGGUAUAUUUCUUCUAAAGCUAAAUACUGGCCAGAGACCGAUAGCGCACAAGUAGAGUGAUCGAAAGAUGAAAAGCACUUUGAAAAGAGGGUUAAAUAGCACGUGAAAUUGUUGAAAGGGAAGCGUUUAUCACCAGACUUUUUCUAGGGGGAUCAUCCGGUGUUCUCACCGGUGCACUUCCCCUAGUUGAGGCCAGCAUCGGUUUUCGGAGGGGGAUAAAAGUUUCGGGAAUGUGACUCCCCCGGGAGUGUUAUAGCCCGUUACAUAAUACCCUUCUGGGGACCGAGGUUCGCGCAUCUGCAAGGAUGCUGGCAUAAUGGUGAUCAACGACCCGUCUUGAAACACGGACCAAGGAGUCGAACAUUUAUGCGAGUGUUUGGGUGUCAAACCCUCACGCGUAAUGAAAGUGAACGGAGGUGAGAGCCCUUACGGGUGCAUCAUCGACCGAUCCUGAUGUCUUCGGAUGGAUUUGAGUAAGAGCAUAACUGUUCGGACCCGAAAGAUGGUGAACUAUGCGUGGAUAGGGUGAAGCCAGGAGAAAUCCUGGUGGAGGCUCGCAGCGGUUCUGACGUGCAAAUCGAUCGUCAAAUCUGCGCAUGGGGGGCGAAAGACUAAUCGA
rnacentral:rRNA from 1 species